GCCUGGGCUUCGAGACCAUAACUACAUAGACAGGCCCACCCGAACAUGUUGCGCCAGCGCACCCUCAAGAAUCUGAUCCGCGCCACCGGCGUGGGCCUGCACAGCGGCGAGAAGGUGU
rnacentral:sRNA from 1 species